GACGAACGCUGGCGGCGUGCUUAACACAUGCAAGUCGAACGGAAAGGCCCUGCUUUUGUGGGGUUCUCGAGUGGCGAACGGGUGAGUAACACGUGAGUAACCUGCCCUUGACUUUGGGAUAACUUCAGGAAACUGGGGCUAAUACCUGAUAGGAGCUCCUGCUGCAUGGUGGUGGUUGGAAAGUUUCGGCGGUUGGGGAUGGACUCGCGGCUUAUCAGCUUGUUGGUGGGGUAGUGGCUUACCAAGGCUUUGACGGGUAGCCGGCCUGAGAGGGUGACAGGCCACAUGAGGACUGAGAUACGGCCCAGAAUGCUACGGGAGGCAGCAGUGGGGAAUAUUGCACAAUGGGCGGAAGCCAGAUGCAGAAACGCCGCGAGCGGGAUAACGGCCUUCGGGUUGUAAACCGAUUUCGACGGUGACGAAGAGUGAGUGACGGUAAUGGGUAAAGAAGCAACGGCUAACUACGUG
rnacentral:rRNA from 1 species